UAUUGAAAAGUAUCUCCAAAAUACUCAUGCUCCUACACAUAAGGAGUGGGUUCUAGAAGUGGAAGAAGUGUUUUCUCUCGAACGUAAAGGGGAAUAUGACAAGUUUAAACCCUGCAGAGAUAAACUGAAGAACAAAAUGCUUCUAUGGCAUGGUUCACGUUUGACAAACUUUGUGGGUAUACUUAGCCAAGGACUAAGAAUUGCUCCUCCAGAAGCCCCUGCUACGGGGUACAUGUUUGGAAAGGGAAUAUACUUUGCUGAUAUGGUCAGCAAAAGUGCACAAUAUUGCUUCACUGAUCGCAAGAACCCUGUUGGAUUUAUGCUUCUCAGUGAAGUAGCUUUAGGUGAGGUUUAUGAGCUAAAGGCAGCCAAGUAUAUGGACAAACCACCUAAAGGCAAGCACUCUACUAAGGGUCUGGGCAAG
rnacentral:misc_RNA from 1 species